AAGGGGAAAGAACUCAUUAAUCUAAUGCAAACAUGGCGGCGAUCCGGGGAAGAUCUAGUUUUGUGUUUACAAAAAGAUUGUUUGUUCACUGUUGGUCACUUAAGUGGGAAAAACUGAUUGGAUAAAGAUAUUAAACAGUCUUUAUAGUACUGGUGAAAUAGGAGACUCAUCUGAUUGUGGAAGUUUGUGUAGUGGAAAGAAGGAGUUACAUACAGAUGCUGUUUUGAAUCAUAAGAAAUGACUGAUAUUAAUUCAUUUCUUCAAUUCCUCAUUAGCUUCUUCACAAGGAAUAAAUUGUGUAAGGAGUUCUAUAUUCCUAUUUAAAGACCUAACUUUUUUUUUCCAUUUGAGUGUAUGAAAGCAAAUUAAUUGAAUUCAUUCUGAAAACUAAGCUUAAAUAGUUUUAUGUACAUGUAUAUGUGACUUUAUCUUUACUUGACUUUUUAUUUAUAAGUUAUUUAAACAUUAAUAAUUUUAUUCUUUGUAUGAGAAGCUAUAAUCAAUCGAC